rnacentral:rRNA from 1 species
AAUUCGCCCUUGGGGAAUUUUCCGCAAUGGGCGAAAGCCUGACGGAGCAAUACCGCGUGAGGNAGNAAGGCUCUUGGGUUGUAAACCUCUUUUCUCAGGNAAGAAAAAAAUGACGGUACCUGAGGAAUAAGCAUCGGCUAACUCCGUGCCAGCAGCCGCGGUAAUACGGAGGAUGCAAGCGUUAUCCGGAAUGAUUGGGCGUAAAGGGUCCGCAGGUGGCAUUGUAAGUCUGCUGUUAAAGAGUUUGGCUCAACCAAAUAAGAGCAGUGGAAACUACAAAGCUAGAGUGUGGUCGGGGCAGAGGGAAUUCCUGGUGUAGCGGUGAAAUGCGUAGAUAUCAGGAAGAACACCAGUGGCGAAGGCGCUCUGCUAGGCCGAGACUGACACUGAGGGACGAAAGCUAGGGGAGCGAAUGGGAUUAGAUACCCCAGUAGUCCUAGCCGUAAACGAUGGAUACUAGGCGUAGCUCGUAUCGACCCGAGCUGUGCCGGAGCUAACGCGUUAAGUAUCCCGCCUGGGGAGUACGCAGGCAACUGUGAAACUCAAAGGAAUUGACGGGGGCCCGCACAAGCGGUGGAGUAUGUGGUUUAAUUCGAUGCAACGCGAAGAACCUUACCAAGGCUUGACAUGUCACGAAUCCUGUGGAAACAUAGGAGUGCCUUAGGGAGCGUGAACACAGGUGGUGCAUGGCUGUCGUCAGCUCGUGUCGUAGA